CCCAGAUUUUCUCAGGGGGCAACAAUUUUGCCAGGGAACGCCACUUCAUGGCUAUCGUAUGUUAUAGGCUCCAAAGGCGGUAGAAUCCCUGUGAUGUUGUCCACUGUUCACCCCGUGUUCUUUUAAGCAUAUGUACCUGCUCAAAAAUGCAAAAUCUUGCAAGCCUGUGGACACAAUACUGAAGUGAAGAACGUCAGUAGAUUUACAUGUAGGAAUUUUUUUUGAGCGCUCUCUUUUGCAUGAUAUUUUUUUAUCGAUU